rnacentral:rRNA from 1 species
AAGCAGGGGAUCGUAAGACCUUGUGCUUUUGGAGCGGCCGAUGCCUGAUUAGCUAGUUGGUGGGGUAAAGGCCUACCAAGGCUACGAUCAGUAGUUGGUCUGAGAGGACGACCAGCCACACUGGGACUGAGACACGGCCCAGACUCCUACGGGAGGCAGCAGUGGGGAAUUUUGGACAAUGGGCGAAAGCCUGAUCCAGCAAUGCCGCGUGAGUGAAGAAGGCCUUCGGGUUGUAAAGCUCUUUCAGUCGAGAAGAAAAGGUUGUGACUAAUAAUCACAAUUCAUGACGGUAUCGACAGAAGAAGCACCGGCUAACUACGUGCCAGCAGCCGCGGUAAUACGUAGGGUGCAAGCGUUAAUCGGAAUUACUGGGCGUAAAGGGUGCGCAGGCGGCUUUGUAAGUCAGAUGUGAAAUCCCCGGGCUUAACCUGGGAAUUGCGUUUGAAACUACAAAGCUUAG